GAUGAACGCUGGCGGCGUGCUUAACACAUGCAAGUCGAACGGAAAGGCCCAAGCUUGCUUGGGUACUCGAGUGGCGAACGGGUGAGUAACACGUGGGUGAUCUGCCCUGCACUUCGGGAUAAGCCUGGGAAACUGGGUCUAAUACUGGAUAGGACCACUUCUUGGAUGUUGUGGUGGAAAGUUUUUUCGGUGUGGGAUGAGCUCGCGGCCUAUCAGCUUGUUGGUGGGGUAAUGGCCUACCAAGGCGUCGACGGGUAGCCGGCCUGAGAGGGUGUACGGCCACAUUGGGACUGAGAUACGGCCCAGACUCCUACGGGAGGCAGCAGUGGGGAAUAUUGCACAAUGGGCGCAAGCCUGAUGCAGCGACGCCGCGGGGGGGAUGACGGCCUUCGGGUUGUAAACUCCUUUCGCUAGGGACGAAGCGUUGUGUGACGGUACCUGGAGAAGAAGCACCGGCUAACUACGUG
rnacentral:rRNA from 1 species